GACGAACGCUGGCGGCGUGCUUAACACAUGCAAGUCGAACGGAGUGGCGAGCGGGGGAGUGACACGUAGGUGGUCUGCCCCGCACUUCGGGUUAAGCCUGGGGAACUGGGUCUGAUACCGGAUAGUGUGGGAUGGGCGCGCGGCCUAUGAGCUUGUUGGUGGGGUAAUGGCGUACGGAGGGGGCGCCGGGUAGGCGGCCUGUGAGGGUAGACGGGCACCAGAGGCCUAAGGGACGGAGCAGACGCCUAUGGGGGGCAGCAGUGGGGAAUAUGGCACAGUGGGCGGAAGCGUGAGGCAGAGGCGCUCGGGGGGGAAAGACGGCCUUCGGGUUAUAAACGCCUUUCACCAUCGACGCGGUAGAUGGAGAAGAAGCACCGGCUAACUACGUGCCAGCAGCCGCGGUAAUUC
rnacentral:rRNA from 1 species